rnacentral:rRNA from 1 species
GACGAACGCUGGCGGCGUGCUUAACACAUGCAAGUCGAACGGAAAGGCCCUGCUCUUGUGGGGUGCUCGAGUGGCGAACGGGUGCGUAACACGUGAGUAACCUGCCCUUGACUUUGGGAUAACUUUAGGAAACUGGGGCUAAUACCGGAUAGGAGCUCCUGCUGCAUGGUGGGGGUUGGAAAGUUUCGGCGGUUGGGGAUGGACUCGCGGCUUAUCAGCUUGUUGGUGGGGUAGUGGCUUACCAAGGCUUUGACGGGUAGCCGGCCUGAGAGGGUGACCGGCCACAUUGGGACUGAGAGACGGCCCAGACUCCUACGGGAGGCAGCAGUGGGGAGUAUUGCACAAUGGGCGGAAGCCUGAUGCAGCACCGCCGCGUGCGGGAUGACGGCCUUCGGGUUGUAUACCGCUUUCGCCGGUGACGAGGCGUGAGUGACGGUAAUGGGUAAAGAAGCACCGGCUAACUACGUG